GUGCCUUUGGAGGGAUCACUCCUUUUUGGUGAGCCAUCAAUAGCAGCUGUGGCUGCUUCUUCCAGCACUGUGCCCAGAAAAGAGGCAGAGGCUGUUUUGCUUCUCCUGCUCAUGGUGUACUGCUUCUUCUGGCUUCCAGACAGCAUUUGCUUUCCUGUGAAAAACAAGGAAAAAAAAAAAUCUAUAGCAUGGGAACAUUAUUAUUUUCAGCCUUCUGUUCCUCAUCAUUUUUAUUUCCAGCAAAACGGUUUUCAGACAUAUAUUUUAAAAGUUGUAACUGAUACAAACAUUGCUGUGACUGCCACACAGCUGUACUGCAACAGAACGUUACUGAUAGAAAUAAUCAGAAGAUACUUCAUAAAACUAAGCUGCUAUUCUAAGCAAUAUAUAUUCACUCUGAUGGAGAGUGUGGAAGGAGUGAAGGCAUUUCUAAUACAAACGUAUGACACGUGACUUUCUCCUGCCUCUUAUUCACUGGACAGAAAGAUGUUAGCUCAGUUAUACCUGGUCAAAACUGGGUACAGUUGUGGCUGUGAGGAGAGCACAGGUUCACGUGUUUUGAGGCCUCCGUAGUGUGGUGGCUGCCUCACAAGCACCACCCAUCUCCCACAUGUUUAAGUCCACCUCCUACCUCUGUAGAAAGCCAUGGCAGAAACUAGCAGAAAGGUCCAAUGUGUACAAGACAUGCUUUCUCCUGCAGUAGUUUUCAUGAGAAGGAUGUUGAACGGCAGCUACAACUGCAGGACUCUGCCAUGCCUAAAGCAACAGAACUCACCAGUUCAAAAGGUGCACCCACGUGCCCUCAAUUCCCAGGAAAACACAGCAAAGCAACACAGACAGUUGGGCUCUGAGGACAGCUCCGCCAUCCUCAAAUCAGCUGUCAGUUACCUAAACUAACAAAUGCAG
rnacentral:lncRNA from 1 species